GAGGUUCUCCCAGUUAGUCUUUACCCGGUUUAAAUCAUGCAACUCAUUUUGAAUGUUACUGCAUUUAUCAGUUAAUUCCUCGUUGUUUUGCUUAAAGAGUGCUAACUGUUGGUGGGCAGCAUCAAGUUCAUUUUGUGCUUGAUGGAAUUGUUGCUGGGUGUGAUUAGCUUCAUCUUGCAAUUUGUUGUAACUCUCUUGCAACAGCUCGUGCUGCGUUUGGAGCUGGGUUAAGUUUUCAUCACUCUGUUGCAAGUGGUUUAACUGGGUUUCGCUAGCCAUUAGUUUGUCAGUUAGGCUUUGGUUUUGUUGUUUGAAGGUAGCUAACUGUUCUUGGGUUAAGCUAAGGUCAAACUGGGUUUGUUCUAGCUGUUGCUUUGUGAGUGUUAGCGUUUUGCUGUCAAACGCAGUUUUUUCCUUGUGGGUAAAUUCUAAAACAUUUAGUUGGUUUUGUAGUUCACUGUUAGUAAUACCCAAGGCCUGGACGUUUUCCUCAGCUGCUUGUAAGCUUGCAAGUAAACUGCUGUUUUUUUGUUCUAGUACCACUUUUUGCUGUUCAAAACCUUGUGCUGCGAGACCUAACUCAAAGUUAGUGGCCUUAACUUGGUCUAACUCUUUUACUAAAGCUUCGUUGUGGCGUUGUAAUUGUGCUAACUGUUCCUGGUGGUGUUGGUGUGCUAGGUGUUGUUCGUGUUCCAAUUCCUUUAACUUAGCAUCACUGUCAGCACGCAUUAACUCAUACUGCUUUAAAAGAUUACGGUACUUGGUGUUUUCAUCGUUUAACUUAGUUUCACGUAGCUGUUUAAUUUCGGUUUUGAGGAAGUUGUUUUCACGCUCAAUUAGGCUUAAGCGUUGGUUAGUUUGCUUUAAGCUAAUUACUUCCGUUUCCAAACUGUUAAUUUCACUGCGUAACGACGGAAUUAAAGCCAGUUGUUCCUGG
rnacentral:sRNA from 1 species